AUACGUAGGUGACAAGCGUUAUCCGGAUUUACUGGGCGUAAAGGGCGUGUAGGCGGUCUUGCAAGUCAGAAGUGAAAUUCCUGAGCUCAACUCGGGCGCUGCUUCUGAAACUGCAGGACUUGAGUGCUGGAGGGGAUAGCGGAAUUCCUAGUGGAGCGGUAAAAUGCGCAGAUAUUAAGAAGAACACCGUUGGCGAAGGCGGCAUUCUGCCCAGUAACAGGCAGUUACGCCAGAAAGCGUGGGAAGCAAGCAGGAUUAUAUUCCCUGGUGGUCCACGCCGGAAACGAUGAAUACUAGGUGUAGGGGGUAUCGACUCCCUCUGUGCCGCAGUUAACACAAUAAGUAUUCCGCCUGGGGAGUACGGCCGCAAGCUUGAAACUCAACGGAAAUGACGGGG
rnacentral:rRNA from 1 species